ensembl:lncRNA
UAUAUAUAUACUUUUUCCACCAUUGGCCUUGAGGAAUCUUGCACAGGCCUUGUUGCAUCUUGCACAGGCUUUAGAGAUGGACAUUAGACCGAAGGCCACAUUCAUUGACUACAUGACAUACUAACACACUCUCUUUGUAAAACAUGUCCAGUGAUGUCAACUGAUUUUGUGAACAUUUUAAACAUUUUUAAGACUGGUCACAAGCAGGUGAGCUCUUGCUGCAUAUGGGGAGGAGCUAUUUCCUAAAUGGGUUGUAUUAAAAUCGCAUGACACUGAGCUCACAUGAAUGAACAUGUGUAUGCUUAAACUCUGAUGCCUUGUUCUGCUGGCUCACUGAAUGUAGUGGUGGGGGCAAAUGGUUCAGGAGCAUGUGUUCUCCAAAUUUCAGCCUGUAGUCCUGCUUAAGUUUAAACAUGAAACCAUUGCCUAGGCUACACACAUGUGGGACAUGAGUUUGUUCAUUUUUUAAAAUACAUUUUGCACUGCCUGUCUGCUCAACCAUUUGUUGUCUUUUUUCUGUAAUGAUGCACUAAUGUGCAAAAAUUAUCAAAGAAAAUCAAUUGUUUUGUUUAAAGUACCAAAAUUUGGUUUCCCUCUGCCAAAAUAUUUUCAGUUAAUCAGAUCCGCCAGAUUUCAUCACAUCUUUUAUUACCUGGGGAAAUGGAAAAGAUAUGAUUGGUAACUGUUGUUUCCAUUUCCAAAAAUAUGAAGAGAUUUGAUCUAGUCAAAUUUACUGGCAUAACAUUUUACACCAAAUAAGAAUACUACAAAAGUGGUACAGUAUGAUGUGUAAUGCUAACACCAUCUUACCUCAUUUUAAUAUUUGUAUGUGGCAUUUCCUGUUGUGUUUACAAACAUCAUGGUCCUGCUCACUUGUUUCCCACACUGUUUCCCUUUUGGCCAUUUUGGCAUAAACAUUCACAGUUUUAAUCUAAUUAGACAGUGGUUCAGGAAAUUGUAUCUUAUUAUGUGGUCAUUCUUUUCAUUUGUGCUAAUUGUUACACUUUACAUGUUCUAUACCUUUCUAUUCCUUGUUCAAAAAUAUAUCAAAUUAAUUUAUUAUAUUGAUACAUAUUUAUUCAUUGUAUUUUUAUUUUAUAAGUUUUUGUAUGAGGGGUUUGUGUUCUCACAGUCAAAUGAUUGAAGAAGUGCGUGUGUGUGUCUGUCUGUAAGUGAAAACAUAUUUGCAACUUGACUGAAGCAUGUGAAGCUUACUGGCCAUUGAUCCAAGGUUUGUUAUGAUCAGCUUAGCUUAAAUUAAGUUUUUCGAAUGGCCCAGUAUUCCACUUUCUUUGCUUAUUACUCCUGACUUGAGGUAUUUUAAUUCUAGAAUAAGUUUAGUGUAGGGGAAGAUAUUUGUUUAAUAAGGAAAAACACCUUCUGGUUUGAUGUAUAACCUAAUGAAAGCACUCCACUGACAUAAAACUGAAACUGGUUGUUCAAAUUUCUCUAUGUAGUUUUCUUUUUAGGAUUGUAAAUAAAAAAAUAUAUAUAAUGCUUUAAGAAUGGUAAUACAUGACUGUGUACUUGUGCAAAACAGUACUAGCUUGUACUUUAUUAAUAGAGAACAGCACAUAUGUAUUUUUUUAUCUUGUUUUUGAAGUUUGCUUCAAAUGAAGAAACAUGUAUGAAGUUCAUUAUAUUAUAUAAAAGCCUAACUAUAGACUAUUAAUAACGGGAUAUAAAUAGAACAUAAGUGCUAUAGAAUUACUGUUAACUCAAACAACUAGAUGAAUUUCCCUUCUCAUAAAGCUUCAGUUGUUUGAGUUGACAGUAAUUCUAUAGCAAUUAUUAUGUUUUAUUUAUAUCCCGUUGUUAACAGUCUGUGGUCAGGCUAUUAUGUAAUGUGUGUAUAUUUGUGUGUGUGUGUGUGUGUGUGUGUGUGUGUGUGUGUGUGUGU